rnacentral:lncRNA from 1 species
AACAUAGCUAUAAAAAGGAAAAGAAAGAAGAAGAAAAAGAAGACUAGAAGUAGAAGAAAAACACUCUGAAGAUAACCCAUCCCAACAUCCUUUUUAUCACUAACCAUUCUCCAAAACAAAUACUUUGUAAAAUAUUUCCUUAUGAGUACUUUAGUAGUUCCUCCUCUAAGCUUGUAAAAUAAAUAAACCCUUAUGCUUAUUUGUGAUCGUUUUUAAUUCCCAAAACUCAGUAGACUUUUUCAGGUUUCCCGAAAGGGAAAUCUCUCUCCUAUAAGCAUGUAAGUUACUCAUCUUUAUCUAAAUUAUGUUUCUACUAGAUAUUACCCCUGUUUCUUUUACAGUUUUAUGUUAUUUCGUAUAGUUUUAUGUUCAUAUGUUCGACUAUUAGUUUGAUAACAACCAGAUAUCACUCUUAGUAUAUGGUUAGCUUUCUAAUUUCUUAACAAUUCUGAUGGAUUAACUUGUAAAUUCCUAGGAAAAACCGGUUAAGUAAAACCCUAAAAUAAUCAAGAAAAGUAUAAGUGUUUAACCCGAAAAUAAUCAAUAAGGGUAUAAAUAAUCAAGAAGGGAAUAACUAGCAGAAAGAAAAAAAGAGGAUUUAGCUCAUCCAAAUACUCUGUCUCAUUCUACACGACACUACUAUUAUAUAUAUAUAUAUAUAUAUAUAUUUAUAUACUAUAGACUUUUUCAUAUAAUUUCAAAUGCUUUUAAUUUUUUUUUAAUCAAUUUUUGGAUACUUUUAUUUAUACUUUUUAUUGUUUUACUUUUAGUGCUUUUCCUACAGUCAUUACAAGAAAAUAGACGUACGACGAAAUUUGUUAAAUGUCAUUUUGAGUCACAUAAAUGUCACAAAAUUAUUUACCGACAUUUAUUUGACAUUUAUAGCAAACGUCGUAAAUUUCGAUGUCGGAAAUUUUCCGACAUUUACAUUAAUGUUGACAAAUAAAUAGUGACAUUUACAUACUGACUUUUUAUCAAAUGUCACCAGCUUGAGUACAAAAUCAAUAUAGUUGCAACAUAUAAAGAAAUGUCGGCAAUCUUACUCAUCCUUUCUAUAUAUAAAUGCAAAAUGUCGAUAAAUCUUCUUUUGUCAAUAGCUUUUUUUUCUUUUUAUACUUGAAGGAAGUUAAUAAUUCUUAUCUACUAAUAACACAAUUAUUCAUAUAAUUUUUAUACUAAAAUGUCGUUACUCAACAAAAGAGUUUUGAAUUAAAACAAAAGAGAUACGUACACAAUAUUUUUGAAAAUCUUACAAUACCACUCAGUAGUGGUUCUCAAAAAUAUAAAGUUUUUGUCCUGUACAUAUUCAGAACAAGCUAUGCUAACUAUAAAUAGACUCCAAUGCUGAGUACAAAAAUAUUAAUUCACAACAAUUCUUUGCACAAGAGUUUCUCUUUUUGACUCCAAUUUUUGCAUAUCAACCUGAAAUAAAACCAAACAAUAAAAGCAACAAUUAGAAGUUAAAAAUAUAAGGUAACAAAAACCAGUUAGCAAGCCACUUCUAUAGAGUUAUACGGCAUAUGAUAUCACAUGAAAAGUUAGAAUCCGUGCAGCUUAAAAACAUUCCAUCAUACAAACAAAAAUGAAGAAUAGACUUACUUAUUACAAAGAAAAAUAAAACAAUAAGAAACUUCAAAUCUUCGAAUACGAGCCACAAUGUAAAUAUGUACCAUAAAGUAAGAAAAUGCAAAAGGUGCUUGAACACAUCUAUAUCUGUUUAGUUAACAUACAGAAUGAGAAGUUCUCUCUGUCCUUUUCCUCUUCCUAAUCUCUUCUAACUAAGCAUGACAUUUCGGUUUUAGGAUUAAAUGAUGUUUGCAUAAUCAUUUGGAUAGACUAAUAUCCUUUUCGCAAGUAAACCACAAGAAUUUUCUUUAUCUCAAUGAUAUUGUGAAGAGUAUAACCUUUGACGAGCUAGCAGACCUUGAGUAUGCUCCUAACACAAUUUAUUUUCAACACCUGCAUGGUAAUCUUGUUAGUAUUACAUUUUAGGUCUAACAACCAAGCAAGCGUCUAGAGGUAUUGAUAGGUAAUACAAACUAGAUAUUUACUUAUUUCAAUUGAAGGAGAUGAUCCUCUUGAGUGACCUACAGAUGAGAACCACAAUCAACUAGAUUCAGAGGCCAUAUUUGGUUAAUGACUAUGCUAUAGAGGUCAUUUUUCUCCUAUAAAUACAUAGUAAUAUCCAUAUUCUUACUCAUGAAAAGCAGAAUGUCAUCUCCUGUGAGGAAUCUAACAUUAUAAGUCGAUGAGGUUAGUUAUUUGGUGCUGCAAUUUCAAGUUUUUCUUCCUCUGGUGAACUGAUCUUGAGUAUUUAUGUGUCAAGAAAAUAUAAUCUUCCUUGUUAUUCUGCUAAAGUUUUGGCAUUAUAGGUAUAAAUAAGUUAUUCUAUCAUACUCAAUUAAAUGCAAAAGAGUGAUAUUUCCUGUAAGGCGUAGUUCAGUUUCUGACUUAUCCAAGUAAGAUUUCUGUAAUUUGGACCUGCAGGUACCUUUCUACACUCAUCCUACCACUAUUAGCACCUAUAAACCUAAUCAACUAAUUAAAUAAUUUACAUGGACUAAGAAAGAGCGUAACAAGGAUGAACUAUAACAACAUGACAGUAAAACAAUCAUAUUAAAGAUGUAAGAAUAGACAAAAUCCAAUAAAAGAAAGAAUCAACCACUGAAAUAAAAUAAAAAGUGCGAAUACACAAUGACAUUAAAAGGAAAAAGGUGUAGAUACUAAAGCUUUAUCCCCAGAAUGAUUCAAUUUCAUCACUCCACAAUAGUCAUUAUCUUGAACAUAAACAGCGAACUGUUAAAUGCAUAAAUAACCCUAUCUACCACUUUUCAAAAACAACAAACUUCAGUACAUCAUAAUAAAUGAAAGGGAAACCAUUUUAAAGGCAGGAAAUACAAUCCAGUGAACAUAAUAGAAUGAAAAUCACAAAAAAAAAUACUUAACGCACCCUAAUAACCUCGAUCAAAAAUCUGAGAAGUAUCAGUAGUAUCUGUCAUGUUUAGUGUUUUAGAACAAUCUAAGACCAACCUGGUUGCUUCCCCUUUCAAUUUUCGGUGUCACACUGAGAUUUGCUUAUCGCUAAUCGAGUGCGACUUUGAACUUCGAGAAUGUAAUUUGCAAUCCGAUCAAUUUUGUGAAUAUGAGAUGACACUAUCAAUUAUUUGUGUAUGAGGAAAGGGGAAGAUUGGAGGCACGGUUUUAAGAGGAAAGAUUGGGGGUAGGGUUUUUAAUAAAAAUAGUUGACCAUGCCUAUAUAUUUUUAGCUUAAUAAGUAUAAAUGUAAGUUUCCUUCAUUAGAUAUAAAUGUCAGUAAAUAUUAACUCAUAUAGCUACAUUUCAAUUAAAAGUCGCAAUGACUAUGUCAUUUUUAAUCAAAUGUCAUUGAAUUUACCAAAUUGUUUAUGAAGUAUCACAAAAUGAUUCUUUUUCCGACAUUUUUUUUCACAUGUCACUGAUUAAAUGUGGCCAUAGAUCUCUUUUCUUGUCGUGAGUACAUAAAUUAAGUACUUAAUUCAUCGCAAAAGACGGGACAAUUAAUAGGGUUUCUGACUUUUUAGAAGCAAGAGAUGAUUUACAAAAACACAAAAUCUCUAGCAUACUUAAUGAAAGAAAUAGGGGCGGAGGAAGAAGCAGAUUAUAUCUAUAGCUCCAGUGGGAAGCAUUAGUUUCCCCACCUCCUCAUUUAUUUAGUUUUCACCAAGGUUUGAAGACGAUAUUUGUCAAGAAGCAGAUACUAUCCUGCUAGAGAUUGAAGACUACCCUACUCCCGGAGAUUUAGCUAAGUAGAUAGAUGGGUAGAAUUGACACAAAAAUUCCUCGGGACGUCAUGAAAUAAACUUUAUCAACUUACGUAUUUUCUGAGACCCAUGAACAAAAGAUAUAAAUUAAUGAAUCAUUUAAAAAUAUAAUCAAUAUCACCAAAACGACUAAUUAUAUUUGGCACUCAACCAACUACGGCCUUUUUAACGCUCUGAAAUAAAUUUGUUCUGAAUUCCUUUAUGCAUUUAUUUAUUACUCCUCUAAUACUAAUAGGAUGAAACUAAUUAGAAUAGAAUAAUUGCAGGUCAAAAAAGGUAAUGCAAUAGGGAAAGUGAUUCGCU